UCUACAUAGGUUAUGGAAUAUCUACAUAGGUUAUAGAAUAUCUACAUAGGUUAUAGAAUAUCUACAUAGGUUAUAGAAUAUCUACAUAGGUUAUAGAAUAUCUACAUAGGUUAUAGAAUAUCUACAUAGGUUAUAGAAUAUCUACAUAGGUUAUAGAAUAUCUACAUAGGUUAUGGAAUAUCUACAUAGGUUAUAGAAUAUCUACAUAGGUUAUAGAAUAUCUACAUAGGUUAUGGAAUAUCUACAUAGGUUAUAGAAUAUCUACAUAGGUUAUAGAAUAUCUACAUAGGUUAUAGAAUAUCUACAUAGGUUAUAGAAUAUCUACAUAGGUUAUAGAAUAUCUACAUAGGUUAUGGAAUAUCUACAUAGGUUAUAGAAUAUCUACAUAGGUUAUAGAAUAUCUACAUAGGUUAUAGAAUAUCUACAUAGGUUAUAGAAUAUCUACAUAGGUUAUAGAAUAUCUACAUAGGUUAUGGAAUAUCUACAUAGGUUAUAGAAUAUCUACAUAGGUUAUAGAAUAUCUACAUAGGUUAUAG